CUGUUAGAGAGCCGCCAGGUGUUGCGGGCCCCCGCGCUGGCAGCAGGCGGCCGCUGUCGCCUCCGUCCCUCUGCUUGUCCGGAUCGCGCUGGUGUGCGGGGACAGGGACAAGAAGACAAGGGUCGAGGCAACCGAGUGAUAUCUACCCUGGGAGGAGAAAUUUGGCUCCUAGCCAAGCACGACUGCUCUAAUGCCAACUUCUGUAGUGCAUCUGUGAUGAAAAGAUGGCCCUGCGAUCCCUCUCCACUCUACACCAUAAGGACGCAAUUACAAGAGAAUAUUGUCCUUUUGAAAAUGCUAGUUCCAGGCUUUCGUGAUUUUUGAGGAAAGCGUGGCUCAGGUGCGCCCCGAGGACCCGGAGCGGGACGCUAGCACGGAUACGCCGCUCGCUCGCUCGUUCGUCGUCGGAAAGCCCAGCCCGUGCCUGCGCAGGGCUGACUCAUGAUUUUUGAACACGUGGAGCUGGCGACACGGCACUGACGCCGGGCAAGAGCAGCCGAGCCGCCCCCUCGGUGAGGGCA
rnacentral:lncRNA from 1 species